UCCUUCGUGGGGGAAUUGGUAAACCCGCCCGGUUCUGGCCCGGGAGAUGUUCCUGGUUCAAGUCCAGGCGAAGGAG
rnacentral:tRNA from 1 species